GCAUUGCUGAAGAGUCCCACAAUAGAACGAAACGGCCGUCCAGUGC
rfam:Schistosoma mansoni strain Puerto Rico chromosome 2, complete genome